GCUGAUUUGCCAGCUUUUCGAGCCUUGCAGCAUUUGCUGGGUGUCGCCUUUGAGUGAACCGCUCGACCAACACUAAACCAAAGUCAGGGCAAAU
rfam:Legionella londiniensis strain ATCC 49505 Llon_ctg001, whole genome shotgun sequence.